CGGGGAGUAGGGCAGGGCGGACGCGGGGAACCCCUUGGUUCGGGACCAAGGGGGCGCAGGUUUAAAUCCUGUCUCCCCGA
rnacentral:tRNA from 1 species